GAUGAACGCUAGCUACAGGCUUAACACAUGCAAGUCGAGGGGUAACGAGAGGAAAGCUUGCUUUCCUUGUCGACGACCGGCGCACGGGCGAGUAACGCGUAUCCAACCUGCCCCCAACUAGGGAAUAACCUUGCGAAAGUAAGACUAAUACCCCAUAAUUUCCUCAGAUGUCAUCUGACGAGGAAUAAAGAUUUAUCGGUUGUGGAUGGGGAUGCGUCUGAUUAGCUUGUUGGCGGGGUAACGGCCCACCAAGGCAACGAUCAGUGGGGGUUCUGAGAGGAAGGUCCCCCACAUUGGAACAGAGACACGGUCCAAACUCCUACGGGAGGCAGCAGUGAGGAAUAUUGGUCAAUGGGCGGAAGCCUGAACCAGCCAAGUAGCGUGCAGGAUGACGGCCCUAUGGGUUGUAAACUGCUUUUAUACAGGAAUAAAGUUAGCCACGUGUGGUUAUUUGUAGGUACUGUAUGAAUAGGGACCGGCUAAUUCCGUGCCAGCAGCCGCCGUAA
rnacentral:rRNA from 1 species